AAACGCCCGGUUACAUUUCGAACCCGGAAGCUAAG
rnacentral:rRNA from 5 species